rnacentral:rRNA from 1 species
UACGAAGGGGCGAGCGUUGUUCGGAUUUACUGGGCGUAAAGGGCGCGCAGGCGGUUCUGUUUGUCGAGUGUGAAAGCCCCGGGCUCAACCUGGGAACUGCGCUCGAAACGGCGGAACUAGAGUUCGGGAGAGGAGAGUGGAAUUCCCAGUGUAGAGGUGAAAUUCGUAGAUAUUGGGAAGAACACCGGUGGCGAAGGCGGCCAUCUGGACCGCAACUGACGCUGAGGCGCGAAAGCGUGGGGAGCAAACAGGG